UGCCCCGUUAGUCUAGGGGCUCCUAGCCAAAUUGACGUUGUUAGUGAACAGCCUUGUUCUUCUAACGAAGCCAAUCACUUUUUGUGAUUGGCUUUAUUUUU
rnacentral:sRNA from 1 species